AUGAAGAUGUCACUCAGAAGUGUCACAGGGAGUACAGGGAAGGUCGCGAGUUCAGCCGCGGACCGGCUGGGAGAUUCACGCCAAUUUGCCUUCGGCAGAGUCAAGGGCUUUCGGAAAUCCGCUUUCUUCCCACCAUUGUGGCGAAGUCCCGAAAGGUUUUGGGGUCGGGCUUUUUUUGCCGCGUGUCUUGGGCAAGAUGCGAGCGACCCCGGCGAGCCCCUGCGAGGUGGCGGGGCCGUUCCGCCCGCACAGCACCGAGCACCGGGGGCACCGGGGAUGUUUUGGGGUCCGGGGGGGGCUGCCCGACCUCCCCUGUGCCGGGUCCCCCCUCCACAACCCCGGUCCCCCGCUGAGGGACCCGGGGCAGGACGGAGAUGCGACGAUGGGAUGCUGGAGCCGAGCCUUCACCUUGGUCACUGCCGGUUUUCAGCGCUGCCCUCCUGGGUUUCCCCCCCUCCCAGGAAGGGGGUGUCGCGGUCACCGGCUCCGUCGUGUCCCCGUGUCCCUGUCCCUGCCCCGGCCGGUCCCUGCGCGCUCCCCGUGGGAUGCGCGCAGCGCUGCGGGACCUGCGACACCGCCCCCGUGUCCCCAUCCACGGGACGGGACCGCUUCGUCUUUUUGGGGCACCCGGCAGAAAUUCAGGCAGCUUCCCGCUCCUGCCCGCGAUUUAAUGAGCAAGGAGUAACAGGCAACGUUUACACCGGUUUAAUUAAGAAGGGCUCUUGUACCUUCAGGGGGAUCGCAUCAUUUAACAUGAAAUAUUCAUACAGGAGGUUUCCCGAGCCGUUCCGUUUAAUCAUGCCUGCUGCAAACGAAGGGCUCUGCCUUUAUGCAUGUAUGCGAUUUGAUGUGGAUGUCCCCGCUUUUCCAUCUGCACACGGCCGGAAGGUAGCAGCUCCCUCCCUGCCGGCCCCCCCUUCUGCCAGACUCCCCCUUUCCCCCCCCCUUCCUUUCUCUCCUUGUCCCAUCCCGUCCCCCUCCAUCCCUUCCCUUCCCGUCCCGUCCCGUCCCGUCCCUUCCCAUCCCGUCCCGUCCCGCCGGAGCUGUCCGCAGCCUCCCGCAGAAGGUGGGAUUGAGGCCGGCCUCCCUGCUCAGCCUCCCCGCUCAGCCUCCCUUCUCCAGCUUGCUCUCCCCCCUCGCCCUCCACCGAGAUGUUUCGCAUUGGGCUGGGCGAAUGACUGCAAUUAUAUAUUCCUAUAA
rnacentral:lncRNA from 1 species